rnacentral:rRNA from 1 species
AGUGAACGCUGGCGGCGUGCUUAACACAUGCAAGUCGAACGGAUGAAAUAAGCUUGCUUAUUUCGUUAGUGGCGCACGGGUGAGUAAUGUAUAGCUAACCUGCCCUUUAGUGGGGGACAACAGUUGGAAACGACUGCUAAUACCCCAUACUCCUUCUUAUCUUAAGAUAAGUUGGGAAAGAUUUAUUGCUAAAGGAUGGGGCUUUAUGGUAUCAGCUAGUUGGUGGGGUAACGGCCUACCAAGGCGAUGACGCCUACCUGGUCUGAGAGGAUGAUCAGGGAAACUGGAACUGAGACACGGUCCAGACUCCUACGGGAGGCAGCAGUGGGGAAGAUUGCACAAUGGAGGAAACUCUGAUGCAGCAACGCCGCGUGGAGGAUGACGCAUUUCUGUGUGUAAACCCCUUUUAUAAGGGAAGAUAAUGACGGUACCUUAUGAAUAAGCACCGGCUAACUCCGUGCCAGCAGCCGCCGUAA